rnacentral:rRNA from 1 species
UGGGGAAUAUUGCACAAUGGAGGGAACUCUGAUGCAGCGACGCCGCGUGAACGAAGAAGGCUUUCGAGUCGUAAAGUUCUUUUAUAUGGGAAGAUAAUGACGGUACCAUACGAAAAAGCCCCGGCUAACUACGUGCCAGCAGCCGCGGUAAUACGUAGGGGGCUAGCGUUGUCCGGAAUCACUGGGCGUAAAGGGUUCGCAGGCGGAAAUGCAAGUCAGGUGUAAAAGGCAGUAGCUUAACUACUGUAAGCAUUUGAAACUGCAUAUCUUGAGAAGAGUAGAGGUAAGUGGAAUUGUUAGUGUAGCGGUGAAAUGCGUAGAUAUUAAAAAGAAUACCGGUGGCGAAGGCGACUUACUGGGCUCAUUCUGACGCUGAGGAACGAAAGCGUGGGUAGCAAACAGG